rnacentral:rRNA from 1 species
UACGUAGGGGGCUAGCGUUGUCCGGAAUCAUUGGGCGUAAAGCGCGUGUAGGCGGUUCGGUAAGUCCGCUGUGAAAGUCGGGGGCUCAACCCUCGAAUGCCGGUGGAUACUGUCGGACUAGAGUACGGAAGAGGCGAGUGGAAUUCCUGGUGUAGCGGUGAAAUGCGCAGAUAUCAGGAGGAACACCGGUGGCGAAGGCGGUUCUCUGGGCCUUACCUGACACUGAGGAGCGAAAGCGUGGGGAGCGAACAGG